rnacentral:rRNA from 1 species
GGUUCGAUUCUGCUCAGAUUGAACGCUGGCGGGAUGCUUUACACAUGCAAGUCGAACGGCAGCACGGACUUUCGGUCUGGUGGCGAGUGGCGAACGGGUGAGUAAUGUAUCGGAACGUGCCUAGUAGCGGGGGAUAACUACGCGAAAGCGUAGCUAAUACCGCAUACGCCCUUCGGGGAAAGCAGGGGACCUUCGGGCCUCGCACUAUUAGAGCGGCCGAUAUCGGAUUGGCUAGUUGGUGGGGUAACGGCUCACCAAGGCGACGAUCCGUAGCUGGUUUGAGAGGACGACCCGCCACACUGGGACUGAGACACGGCCCAGACUCCUACGGGAGGCAGCAGUGGGGAAUUUUGGACAAUGGGAAACCCUGAUCCAGCCAUCCCGCGUGUGCGAUGAAGGCCUUCGGGUUGUAAAGCACUUUUGGCAGGAAAACGGCACGGGAUAAUACCCCGUGCAACUGACCGUACCUAAGAAAUAAGCACCGGCUAUUACAAAUUACUUGGCAACCGCGGUAAUACGUAGGGUGCAAGCGUUAAUCGGAAUUACUGGGCGUAAAGCGUGCGCAGGCGGUUCGGAAAGAUGUGAAAUCCCAGAGCUUAACUUUGGAACUGCAUUUUUAACUACCGAGCUAGAGUGUGUCAGAGGAGGUGGAAUUCCGCGUGUAGCAGUGAAAUGCGUAGAUAUGCGGAGGAACACCGAUGGCGAAGGCAGCCUCCUGGGAUAACGCACUGACGCUCAUGCACGAAAGCGUGGGGAGCAAACAGGAUUAGAUACCCUGGUAGUCCACGCCCUAAACGAUGUCAACUAGCUGUUGGGGCCUUCGGGCCUUGGUAGCGCAGCUAACGCGUGAAGUUGACCGCCUGGGGAGUACGGUCGCAAGAUUAAAACUCAAAGGAAUUGACGGGGACCCGCACAAGCGGUGGAUGAUGUGGAUUAAUUCGAUGCAACGCGAAAAACCUUACCUACCCUUGGCUGUCUCUGAAUCCCGAGAUUUGGGAGUGUAAGAGAACCGGAACACAGGUGCUGCAUGGCUGUCGUCAAGCUCGUGUCGUGAGAUGUUGGUUAAGUCCGCAACGAGCGCAACCCCUUGUCAUUAGUUGCUACGAAAGGACACUCUAAUGGAGACUGCGGUGACAAACCGGAAAGUGGGGAUGACGUCAGAUCCUCAUGGCCCUUAUGGGUAGGGCUUCACACGUCAUACAAUGGUCGGGACAGAGGGUCGCCAACCCGCGAGGGGGAGCCAAUCAGAAACCCGAUCGUAGUCCGGAUCGCAAGUCUGCAACUCGACUGCGUGAAGUCGGAAUCGCUGUCCUAAGCGGAUCAACUUUGUCGCGGUGAAUACGUUCCCGGGUCUUGCUUACCGCCCGUCACACCAUGGGAGUGGGUUUUACCAGAAGUAGUUAGCCUAACCGUAAGGAGGGCGUUUACCACAGUAGGAUUCAUGACUGGGGUGAAGUCGUAACAAGGUAA